rnacentral:misc_RNA from 1 species
GCUAUUUAGGGAAUUAAAUUCGAUAUAUCCUCAAUGAAUAUUUUUAUUUCUUCUACCUCUAAUCUUUAUACUAAAUACCUUAAAUAUAAACUUUACGAUUCCAUAUAAAACGAAUAUCUUUAAUGAGAAGAGAAAAACUCUGAAUAUCGACCAAACUUUAUGAAUUUCUUAUGAAAAUGCCUUUUUAAGGCGCGUCGCUCUUACUUUUAUAUUUGUUUAUUUAGAGCCACUGUUUCGUAAAUGCUUUUUUCUUUUAAAAAGUCACUUUAUAAACAUUCAUAUUUUUAAUUCAUAUUUUAUUUCCAUAUUCUUAUGGGAAUACAUUUUAGGCUUACCUUUUUAAGCGUGGCUUUAGAAAUUGUUUAUUACUCUUUAAUACAAAACUUGCACAAAAAUUUUUUUUUUUUGUUUUCAUCCAACAUCUCACAAAUAUUUAAUAUCAAAAUUUUCCAUGCGAGUCUAUUUCUCAACCUCAGUUUUCUGAGCGUCAAAUAUUUCCUGUGAUUUAAUUUUGUACAUUUUACUUACACACACAUUCAUACACUUAUGUGUAUAUUAGUGUGUUGUGUUAUGUGAACCAGUCUGUGAGUCAGCCCAUCAUUUACUGCAAGAACUGGAGGCUGUACUUCCGUUUCCUUGCAUUGGAAUAAUAGACAGCUUGUCAUUGGCUACAACACACUUACCAUACAAACCAGCUUGAUAGAACUGCAUAACACAUACCAAACUUUUGAGAACUCCAUUUGUAACAAUAACAACAACUUUGUUGCAAGAACUUUGAAACAGUUCUGUGACAACUGUAUGAACAUCUGACAACUGUUGUUUUUUGAUUUAAUGCUUAAAUGACUGAAGUCAUGUUGUCAGUGUUGUUGAUGAUUGUGAUGUUGAUGGCCGAGAGCUGCUGGUGUGUGGACCAUACCUACCAUGUGAAAGAGAACAAUGAUAUAAACAGCUAUAUUGGAGAUAUUGUUACUGAUACACACUUACUGGAUAAUAUACAGUCACAGGACAAACUGACAUUUAAAAUACUCCAGGGUAGUACUGAUGGAAGUGUUCAAUUGUUUAAUGUUACACCUGGAGGACAACUGUACACAGCUGCCAUAUUGGAUGCAGAAUCUCUGUGUCAAUAUGAUGUGGAAUGUUUCAGGAUAUUGGAAAUAGCAGUUCAAGAAGGCCAUUCUUUUAUGAAGAUAUUAGAAAUCAAAGUUAUGAUAGAAGAUGUCAAUGAUAAUUCUCCCAUGUUUCCGGACAAGGAAUUUCAUUUAAAAUUUGAUGAAAAUGUACCCAUGGGAAUAAAAGAAAUUAUUCCAAAUGCCUUUGACAAAGAUGUCAGUAUUGAGAACUCCGAAAUUUCUUAUCAACUGAGGAAUAACCACGAAAAUAUAUUCCAGUUGUCAGUCUCAAGUAUUUCUGAUAGGCAAAGUAACAUUGAAUUAAUAUUGGGUGGGAAACUUGACCGAGAGAAAAAGGAAAGUUAUGCUCUUCAACUAAUUGCAGCAGAUGGAGGAUCACCAUCAAAGGAAAGUGUAUUGGACAUAAAAAUAUUAGUGAGAGAUAAAAAUGAUAAUGCUCCUGUAUUCUCUCAAAGUAUAUAUAAUGUAACAGUAAAUGAUACACACAGUAAGAACAAGCCCAUUAUCAAAUUAACAGCAACAGAUUUAGAUGAAGGGGAUAAUGGAAGAAUUGUGUAUAGUUUCAGCCCUGUUAUCUCAGAAACUGAACGAAAAAAAUUCAUUUCAAAUCAAACUUCUGGAGAAAUAUAUAUAACAAACGAAUUUCAGUUUGGAAAAGUCUAUAAAUUGUUUAUUGAAGCCAGAGAUAAUGGUAAUCCUUCCAAAUUUUCUGUAGUGACUGUUGUUGUAAAUAGUAUCACUCACCUUAACAAUCCCCCCAAAAUUGAUGUCAAAUUUGUUUUAAAGUCAACUGGAAACACAGCUGUCAUCUCAGAAGCAUCUAAAAUUGGCAGUUUUGUUGCUUAUGUCAAAGUUACCGACAAUGACGGUGGAAAAAAUGGACAAGUGAACUGUCAUUUACAUAAUAAAUACCUUCAGCUAAUCUCAGUGUCUGAAAAGAAAUACAAAGUUGUUGUCAAGAGUGAAAUAGAUAGAGAGAGUGAAAAGAGCUUUAAUUUCACCAUUAAAUGUCAAGAUAAUGGUUUACCUCCGUUGAAAGUAGAGAAACAGUUUUCUAUGCUGGUUACUGACAUAAAUGAUGUACAACCUCAGUUUAGUCAGGACAUAUUUAAGUUUCUCACCUAUGAAAAUGAACACAAAGACUUCCCUGUUGGAUAUGUCAAUGCCACAGACCCAGAUAUUGGAGAUGGAGGACAAUUAACCUAUUCUCUAUUAUCUAAUGGAAAAGAUAUUCUACCAUUUCAGAUAUCUGAUGUGGGAUUCAUUUCCACAACUGAGUCCCUAGACAGAGAAGAAAAGAACCUGUAUGAGUUCAAGGUUUUAGUAAAAGAUAAAGGAACACCGUCACUGGAGAAGAGAGCAAAUGUUGUUGUUGAGGUUAUGGAUUUAAAUGAUAAUGCUCCCUAUUUCAGUUUCCCUAAUGUUGACCCUUUCAGUCUUAAUGUCCACUACCAUCCCCACUCUGACCAUGAUAUCACAGUUGUUAGGGCCUCCGACAGAGACAGUCAACACAAUGCCUUCCUCACAUAUGAAAUACUCAGAGGUAAUGAGAAACACUUAUUUCAAAUGAACCAUCACUCUGGUGUCUUAUCUUUCUCUCGCUCACUUUACCAAAAUGAUGCUGGAUUCUAUGAACUGGAAUUAGGUGUGAAAGACAGUGGCAGUCCAGUUCUGUCAUCGACAACAACUUUGUCUUUGACUCUAACAGUGAGUAACACCACAUCAAAGAUAUUUAAGACCCCUUCAAAGACAACAACAGAAUCAAGUAAUGGUCUCCAAUUGAAUGUGAUGAUUGUUAUUGUUAUAGCAGCUGUGAUCGUAUCAGUUGUCAUAGUGAUCUCUAUAUCGAUCUGUAUAGUUCAUAGACUGAAGCAGACAGACAGCAACUAUAACAACAGUGUUGAUAUGUACCACAAGGUUACACCUGCAUUAAACACACAAUCAAAAUAUAUAUUUGAUCCUACUUGUGUUCCACCUGGCAUUUCAUACACAAUGUCGAGAAAUCUGAAGAAAUCCCAACAACCAAUGGUAGACAGAGAAGAUAUUCACUGCAGAACCAUGCUAGGUAAUAGAUGGGAUAACCCAACAUUAAGACGUCAUCAGCAGAUGUUUGUUCCAAGAGAAGAAAGUAUGUCUCCGGGCUACAGAGAACUAAGCAGUGCCGAUGAAACCAGCGAAAUGUCAACAUUGUCUUCUCACACAGAUAGGAGUCAUGGCUGGAGUGUCGGUAGUGCUGGACAUUAUGAAACCCUGCCAGAUCUGUGUUGUUACCAAAGUGAUCGUACAUGGAACAGGAGAAAACAGCUUCCACACACACUGGACAGAUCGAGGGGAGAUAAUAACAAUCAAUACCCUGGAUAUACUUACCAACCAAACGUUGAUUCUAACACAGUCUGUCAUCCUGACCAAACACCUUUGAAUAUAACUGAACAACCAUCUACAACGCCAUUGACAAGUGUCUUUACUUCAAAUAAUAAACCACCUCUACCUGCUGUACCUAAAGUAACAACGCUACCAAAGGUACCCUCAGUACUUCAGGUACCUGUUCUAUCUACACCAAACAACACCAUACUAUUACAUUAACACUAAAAUAUUAUUGUCAUCAAUAAGGCAUUAUUGAAACGGUUACUACCAUUAUUUUAAAGUAUUGAAUGAUAUUCUUGAGGAUUUAUCUUCGACAGAAAAGAAGAGCCGUAUAUUUUACAAUUUGUAAACACAACUGUGAGUAUGUGUGUAUAUAUAUAUAUAUACACACUCACACUUGUGCUUACAAAUUCUAAAAUAUGAGUGUAUAUAAGCCCGUUCAAUAAUAUAAUUCCUAAUUUUUAUUAGAUUGCUUUGUAAAAUAGUUUUCAACAGUUACCUCCCUUGAAUAUAGUUAACUUUUUUUUUUUUUAAAUAUAUUCUUAACGGAGAAAACUCUUGAACAAUUCCUUCAAUACAUAAAUUUACACACCGUAAAUAAUCACGAAAAUUUCAAUAAAAUUUACUUAAAUUAGCAUUAAAUAUUCUUUUCGGCUAUUUAGGGAAUAAGAAAAAUUGAGACAAUCGACCGAAUUUUAUGAAUUUCUUAUGAAUAUGCAUUUUUAAGACGAGUCGCUCCUGCUUUAAUAUUUGUUUAUUAAUAGCCACUGUUUCGUAAUUCCUAAAACAAUCUUUUCCUUUUUUCUUAAGUCAUUUUAUGAACAUUUUAAGCAUUAUUUUUUAUGGGAAUAGAGUUUAGGCUUUCCUUUUUAAGUGUGGCUCGAGAAAUAAUCUGUUACUCUUCAAUACAAAACUUGCAGAAAAUAUUUUUUCUUUUGUUUUUACCCAACAUCUCACAUAUUUAAUAUUAAAAUUUUCCAUGAGAGUCUGUUUCUCCUCCUCAAUAUUCUGGACAUCAAAUAUUUCCAGUGAUUUAAUUUUGUACAUUUUACUUUCACACACAUUCAUACACUCAUAUGUAUAUUAGUGUGUGAAUGUUUGGUGUUAAGUGAACUAAUCUGUAGGUCAGCCCAUCAUUAAAGUGUAUGAACUGGAGAUUGUACCUCCGUUUCCUUGCAUUGGAAUAAUAGACAACUUGUCAUCAGCGACAAUACACAUUAACUACUACGCAACCAAAUUGAUAGAACUGCAUAACACUAUCACAUACCAAACUACUCAGAACUCCAGCUAAAAUAUUAAUAACUUUGCUGCCAGAACUUUGAAAUGGUACUGUGACAACUGUAUAAACGAUUGACAACUGUUGAUUUGUGCUACUCCCAAGUCUGAUAUUAUAGAAAACCAUGGCAAUUUAACUCUAUAUCAGAAUGAAAGGAAAUAACACUGAAGAAUAUUUGCUCUACUCAAACGGAGACAGGCAGAAGUUGAAUUGGCCAACAUAAAAAUUGGUAGCAUUGGUGAAGAAACUUUUCUUUUGCAUGGAUAGUAUACGAUAUGACUCUAGACUUUUAGUAGAUUUUAUCAGAUGUUUUGACUUAUGCUAUAUAUGAUAACAAUGUCUCUUAGAAUAUUUUCAAAUAAUAUCAGAGGAGGUUUAGUGAAAGUCUAGCAAAGUAAAUGGUGGUGCUUUGGCACAGCUGUAGUCCUUGGACUGAAAGUAGAAAAAAAAAUAUAAAAACAUACAUAUAUAUAUUCAGUGUGUGUGUCUAUACAUAUAUAUAUAUAUUCAGUGUGUGUGCCUAUACAUAUAUAGGAAUGGAUGUAAGUUUUGAAGUUCACUUUUCAAGUAUGUGAUUUUAAGUUCAACCCUACUGUGUAUUACCAUGGGUAAAGUGUCUUCUACCAUAACUCCAGACUGAUCAGUGCUUUGUGAUUUUAGUCAUCAGACUGUGGUCAUGCUCACAAAGCAUAGAUUGGCCCAGGGUUAUAGUAGAAGACAUUUGUCAAAGGUGUCAUGCUGUGGGGCUGGACUUGAAACCACAUAGUUUCAAAGUGAACUUCUUAACUAUACACAGCUUUGUAUGUGUUAUGCCUAUUGUGAAAAGUAUUCCAAUUCAUGUACUCGCAGUAUUAUGGAAAUGUGUAUCUGGAAAUCUUGUAAUAGAUUCUGUGAUGUAAAACCUAUUUUUCUGUUGACUUUCAUGUUAUAUGGAAAUCAAUGAACGUGAAAAGUUUAUGAGAAAUAUAGUUGCACUGUGGAAUUUCAUGUUUAUAAACAAAAUUUUUUUUCAACACUUUUAUGACAUGUUAGAUGUCUGUAUAUUAAGAAAACUCCUUUUCACUUGUAGUGGAAGGAUAUGUUUGUUAGAAAAACACGUAUCCCUGCAUUAUUAGCAUUUUCAUUAUGUAUUGAAGCAAACAACAAGUUUAUAUCAACAUAUGAUUUGUAUGCAAAUUACUAAGUUUUCAUUAACAUACAAUAUGUAAAUGACCAGUAUAAGUUUACAUUAACAUUAUAUAUAUAUGACCAGUAUACGUUUAUAUUAACAUAUGACCAAAUGAGUUUACAUUAACAUCAUUUAAAUAACCAAAUGACCAAACAACAAAAUUGUAUUAACAUACAAUAUAUAAAUGACCAAAUAACAUGCUUAUAUUUGUAUGCAAUAUAUAAUUGACCAAACAACACAUUCACAUGAACAUAUAAUAUAUAAAUGACCAUACAAUCGUUGUCAGAAGAUAUUUUUGUUUCUUACCUGGCACUCCAAUUCUGUAGGUCUGAAAAGAGGUAAAAAUUUAUUCAAAUGACAAACACGAUAAACAAAAGUUGUAAAGGAAGAAUAGAGCUACAAAAAGGGGGAAAAAAUGCUUAAAAAGAUAAAACUAUUUUUUGUGUUAGUUCAAAUAACAUUGGAAAACCUCAAAGUAAAUCAAGGAAAAAAGAAUAGCAAACAAAAACAAAUUAAUUUAUCUGACAACCUAUUAUAAUUGACCAAAGUGGUAUCAAAGCUUUUUGCCUAUCUGUAACCAAACUGCUUUACCAAACUGAAGAGUUCACCUUCAGUGCCGUCUGAAUGUAUGGGCACACUGAGCAGUUAUCCAUGUGUCUAGGUGCUAUGCAGUAAGGCAGUACUUGAAACCAUAUGAUUUCAAAGUCAGCUUCUUAAGUAUACAGCCAUGUAUAUUUAUACUUAUUGUGUAAAGUAUUUCAAUUCGGUUACUCUCAAUGCUACGGAAAUGUGUAUCUGAAAGUCUUGUAGCCUAAUGCUAAUCUGUCUAUGCUGCGAUUGUGUCUGUAGUGAACUCCAUGCAUUGCUUUGCCUGGCAAGGACCUUUAAUGCUGUUUAAGACGACUCUGCUUUCUGUUUUCUUUUACUAUUUAACAAGUCAUCAUUACUUUCUCAGCUCAAAUAUUUGUGCCUCUGUCCUGGAGCAGUAUAUUCUGAACCAGUUGACUCUCACUCGCAUCAAACUGUAAAUAAUUAUUACAGAGUAAACAGAAUUUACUUCUGUGAACACUGAACCACAAAUAGGUUACAUUAAUUUGCUGUGCUGUUCAAAUCCCUAUUGUAGACUUGAAAAUAGUAACUGGCUGUGACUACAUUUAGUUGACAUUUCAUGUAAAGGAUUAUCAGAAGUUGCUUGUGACCUGACAGUGAUCUUUGUAACGUUCGUUUUUAUGCUCAUCUCUGUACAUUAUAUGUGAUAACUCCUUUGUUAAAUGCAAUCAUCUCCCUACACCGUAUGUGAUACCCUCUGUACAUUACAUGUGAUACCCUCUGUAUGUUAUUCAUGAUACUCCCUAUACAUUAUAAAUGAUGAUCUCUGAAAGUGAUAUGUGAUAAUGAACUCAUAAUUUUCACUCUCAUCUUAAAUUCAAAGUCAGAGGAUCAAAAUUUGUUGUAGUCAAAGAAAGGGCAAAGAGAAAAUUCAGAAUGUUAUUGGGUUUGUAGUUGUAAUGAGUUGUUGGUGAAUGAAUCUUUUCUAACCUGGUGUGUUUAGAAACUGCUCCACUACAAAAUGAAACAAUGUUAUAUAUAGCUUUUCAGACUGAAGUACUUUCUGGUUUUGAAAAGAAAAAUCAAGCCUUUGAGGUGUAUAACAGAAUCCAUAGAGUUAACUGAAUUCAGCGAAUUUCUCUACAAGUGCUUGUCUGUCAUCUGAGUGUGAAAAAUAUAGGGAGAAUGUUGCUAUAGCUGCAAGCUAGCAAAAUUUGAUGAUGUAAUUUUAGACACGUUUUUUUUAGUAAAUGGUUAUCAUUAAUACCUAACAUUCAGAAAGACAAGAUAUUUCUUCUACCAUUAUUUCAAGUCUAUUACAUAGGAUUUCAGCACAGCAAAUUAUUGGAUCAAUUGUCUAUUAUAUUAGACCUCCUGUAUCUACACCAGUGCCUUGUGUCUCUCUUAUGAUACUGCUUUUGUAAUGAAUCAUGACUUCGAUGAAAGAUAGUCUUACCCUAUGUAAAAUAACAUAUAUUUUACUCUGUUGAUAUUAGUCUUAAUUUAAAGCAGAGGUUACCAGGAGUUAUAUGAGUAACUCUCAUUUUAUUGUAGUAUAUAAUACAAAAUUUAUCAUUUUAUCUUACUUAACAGCUUUCCUAGAGGUAAAAGUCUGUACAUGAUGUCCUGUUUCAGGUUAUAUAUUUCAAUAUAAAUGAGGUUUUUUUAAUAUAGUCUUUCAAUAUUUUUCUGAUUUAUUUUUCAUUUUUAAUCUAUCAAUUGUCUGCUAUUUGUUACAAACCAUCACAACCAAAUAACUGAUUCAAAUUUACAGCAAUUACAAUUACCAUUGAUGAUAGUGUUAACUAAAUAAUGUCAUUUAUACUUCUGAAAUUAAGAAAAAAAAAAUAUUCCAAAGCGCAUGUAUCCCGGUUUUAAAAUAGCUACACCAUAUCCUUAUUACUAAAAGAGGCCAAUAAAAGGGUUGGUGACAGAAUGGGUAUCUUCCCAUAAGACACUGCCUCAAAAUGGGCAAAAGAUGAGUGUGAUUAAAGGAGUGUUGAGCCAGCAAAACUAACCCCGCUUUUAGCAAGGCCAUCCGAGCCCUUAAAAUGUUUGUUGUGGGUCUAAACUAAUUAUAUUCUUGAAAAUAUUUCUCUCGAAACUAAAAUUUAAAGAGAGAAACAGUCAUGACACAAACACUCUUUUUGCUUUUUAAAUUUAUAAAAUAAUAUUAACCUACCAAGUAUGACACGUGUGUGUAGAAGUCUUUCAGACAGUUAACUCGUUUAUUUUUUUUUUUGCUUUUAACUUCUUAUUGCUAAAACCAUCAAGUAUUCAAACAUAUUUAAUCAGUUAUUAUUAUUCAAAAUUUCAUACAUUAUCUAUUCCACAUAACUUUGACGUUACUCAAAGACUUGCCUCAGAGAAUGGAGCUUGGAAAAUCCCUUAACUUCACACAAUCAAACAUUAGCAUUCUUAACCUCUUUAACAAUUAAUUACACACGUCAUUUUCUAUUUUGGGAUUUUCAAAUUUUACUACACACACACACAUAUGAAUUCCGUUUUGUAUUUAUCUCCUAUAUUACUUUGAGAGUAUUAUAAAGAGCGCUUUCUUUUAUUUGAACUAGUCUUCUCUAACUUCAUGUUGAUUCAUAUGAGUUAAUCUCAAGUUGGACAUGAUGUUGCAUUUGUAACCGUUUUAUUACUAUCUUCAUUUCCUCUAUCCAUAAUGUUUUUUUUUUUUUUAAUCUAAGCAUAUAACUCUUAUAAGUCUUCCAUCCUUGUUUCAUUAUGAACUAAUCAAAACCAAAAUUUUAUCCCCAUUAUUUCCAUACCAUCUUAAGGAUCUUAUAUUUUGAGACUUUUACCUGCCUUAUAUAUAUAUAUAUAUAUAUAUUGAUCUAGUUGGAAUGCAGAAGGUUUUGAUGAAUGAUUAGUCUUUUUUUAUAUAUAUGCAAUUGAAUGCUUAACUUACCAAAUGUAUCAAAUAUAUAAUACAAUUGAAGUUAAAAUUUCAAUUGUUUCUGUUUAAUGGUGGAUAAACCAGGACUGAAAGGUAAAUGUGAAAAUGUAUGUUUAUAUAUUUUAAGCAGUUUUGGAUUGAGAAUACAGACUGGAAUCAAAUAAAGAGUGAGUGCUUAGAGGAAAUUCAACCCCCAUAUUUUUAUCAUCAUAUUGGCUUUUUGAUCAAAAGCUUUCUGCUUUAAAAAAAAAAUGUAAAAUAUGCAUUCAUAUGUUUUUUUACAAUUUGCCUCCAUUUUGGAAUAUUUUGCCUAUUGUUUUUAUAAUUACCAUUUUUGCUUAACAAAAGAUUAUUGAACAAAAAUAUGAAAAGAAAACCCCCAACCUAUUAUUUCUAUGCAUUUAAAUAUUUACAAUUCAAAUUAUAUACAUUUACAAUAUUUUUCACAAGCAUUUAAAUAUUUAUAAUGAAUAUUAUAUAACAGUUUACAAUAUUUUAUGAGCAUAAAUAUUUAUAAUCAAAAUUAUAUAACCAUUUACAGUUUUUUUAAUCAAAUUUAUAUUGGUUUUACAUCAUUUUUAUUCCUUAUAUGUUCACAAACAAAACCGUGACAAUUUCAGAAAAACUGUUCUGUUUUAUCAGCCGAUUGUUGACUACAUAUUUGAUAUUUUAUCUUGUAAUAUCUAUCAUAACCCUGAACUAAAAAACACUUGCACACACAUUUAUAUGUGAAAUAUAUAUAUAUACACACACAUAUAUAUACAUAUAUAUAUAAAUACACGCAUAUACACACACAUAUAUACAUACACACACACAUACACAUCUCUAUGUGUGUAAUUGAGAUUUAAAACUUAUUCCUUAUUUACAUAUGCAGCCAGUUUAUAUUCCAGUUGAAGGUACUUUCAGUGGCUUAAAAGCAAAUAAUGCAUUUGUUGGGUGAUUUUGUAGAUAUAUUUUAGAAAUAGAGAUAAGGAGGAAAAAACAAAUAUAAAAUAAUGAACAAGGAAAAGAGGUUGAGUUUCUGUUACCUCUGCUUCAUAGAAAAGAUUCAUAUUGUCACACAAGAUGAAUCUGAACCUAUAUUGAACUGGUGUUGCAUACUCAAGCAAUUAAUCCAUUCAGAUUAGUUUAUCAAAUGUUAUGCUUAUCUAUUCACAUUGUUUUGAAGUAGUUAUGCAAUGUGGGUGAUGUGAUUGUAUAUUUUUAGAAUAACAUUGUAGGAUAGGUAUGUGAAGCCAAAUCUGGCUAGUUUGAACAUAAAACAGACUAUUUGAACCAGUUAUAACCAGUUUAAAUAUUAAAUGGUUAAAGAAGAUAUCCUGACAUGCACUGAGAAUGAAACUUGAGUUUGCAAAACAAUAGAAUCAAUCAAAUUUAGACCAUUCAUUUACUUUUCGCCAACUGAUUAGUUCCAUUUGCCCAAAUGAGGCUGGCUCUUAUGAAACUCACAGGUAUAAAUUUUAUAUCUUUAUUACUACACAUUACAUUGUACACAUUUAUAUCAUAAACAUAUACAAAACACUUACUUUCUAGUCUAACAAAAAACAAAACAAAAUGAAAUACAACAAACUAUUGCAUGUGUGAAUGAAUGAGUUAAUGUUUGUGUGAGUAAUUCUAUAAAUUGUAUCUAUACAUAAAAAAAAAUACAUGUGCCUUUUUCAUAUCUGCAUUUGCAAGAUUUUGUGAUGUGAAACUGUGUUGAAAUAGACACUGUUAUACUUUAGGAUGGUUAUUCUGCCAAAGGUAUUCUGAACCCUGGGAAGACAAAUUGCAAACAACUUCCCAUCCACUAUCAAUAUUCCCACCACAAACAGUCAUAAAUUUAACUCUGGUCACUCACCUUAGCUUGUAGUUCCUGGAGAUGUUGGCCCUGCACAGAGGUGUCAUAUUUCCUCAAUGAUUAGUACACUCACAAAAUGUCCAGGCGGUUACAAUACAUGCACUACAUUCAGCAGGAUGAAUUAUUUCAACUACUUCUGCAACUUUACAGAAUUCCUUACCAAAAAAGUGUAGGUGAAUUAUCUAUAUUUCUAUCAAUCUACCGAUGUUGAUUUUUCCAUAGUGAGAUUUUACUGUACAUGGCUUUGUGAAAGCAAUGUGGUAUUUUGUGAUGUCAACAAGCUAAGACUCCUAAAAUUCAAAUGUGAUAAUGAUUACUUUGACAGACAUGACCUAAUAGUAUUUUACUCUACCUGACAGAAAUAAGGUAGAUCUUCCACUAACAUCUCAACCA